GUCGAGCGGUAGAGAGAAGCUUGCUUCUCUUGAGAGCGGCGGACGGGUGAGCAAUGCCUAGGAAUCUGCCUGGUAGUGGGGGAUAACGUUCGGAAACGGACGCUAAUACCGCAUACGUCCUACGGGAGAAAGCAGGGGACCUUCGGGCCUUGCGCUAUCAGAUGAGCCUAGGUCGGAUUAGCUAGUUGGUGAGGUAAUGGCUCACCAAGGCGACGAUCCGUAACUGGUCUGAGAGGAUGAUCAGUCACACUGGAACUGAGACACGGUCCAGACUCCUACGGGAGGCAGCAGUGGGGAAUAUUGGACAAUGGGCGAAAGCCUGAUCCAGCCAUGCCGCGUGUGUGAAGAAGGUCUUCGGAUUGUAAAGCACUUUAAGUUGGGAGGAAGGGCAUUAACCUAAUACGUUAGUGUUUUGACGUUACCGACAGAAUAAGCACCGGCUAACUCUGUGCCAGCAGCCGCGGUAAUACAGAGGGUGCAAGCGUUAAUCGGAAUUACUGGGCGUAAAGCGCGCGUAGGUGGUUCGUUAAGUUGGAUGUGAAAUCCCCGGGCUCAACCUGGGAACUGCAUUCAAAACUGUCGAGCUAGAGUAUGGUAGAGGGUGGUGGAAUUUCCUGUGUAGCGGUGAAAUGCGUAGAUAUAGGAAGGAACACCAGUGGC
rnacentral:rRNA from 1 species